rnacentral:lncRNA from 1 species
ACAAACUAAAAGGGAUUCUGGAACUCGGACCUAAUAGUUGUCACACAAACACAAAGAGACGCUGAGACGUCAAAAGAGAUAAAAGGUUGAAAAAAGAAAAAAAAGGAAAAAGGUUGCCUGGAGAGACCUCGCACAAUCUCCUGCCUACGUAUCUCAUAUGGUAUGAGAAUCAGGGCGACGUAGUUCCCCUUAACAGGGGAAAGAACAAACAAACUAAUAGGGAGUCUGGAACUCGAACCUAAUAGUGGCAAACAAAC